UGGCCAGGGCACUGCCUGCUGCUGCGAGGCCAGCUGCUAGCUCGGCUGUGUCUAUAUGGAGGGAUAAUCAUGGUUAUAGGUAUAACUUCAAAAGGAGAACGUGUGGCUUAGUAAUGCCAGUCUGGGGCUCUGCCUUUAGCUCCGCCACUGACAAGCUAGAUGGCCGGGGCAAAUUAUUUUUACCUACCAGUGAUAUUUUCCUACUCCUCUAAAAUGUUAGUAAUAAUCCUGAAGAAGCUUAAGCUGUGGAUGAAAAGCGCUGUAUAUGGGCAAUGAGAUGCUAUUAUUAUUAAUUGCAUGCCAGAAUGAAAAUUUGCUAUCAGUUGCUACUAACAGCCACUCGGAGUCCAAAUCCUUUUUCACACGAAUUCAGGCUCUGCGACAUUCUGCUGUUAAUCUCAGAGACCUUCUGCAUGUUCCUGCCAAGCUCCUGCUCCCAGGCAAGAAGCAUUAAAUACAGUGAAGCCUCCAAGAUUUGGUUCAGUAAUCAAGUUUUGCAAUUCCCCAGCAUCAUGCAUCCAAAGGCUUCACAGUGCUCAAGCUUUAGGGUUUAAAAGCUUCUGGCUUCAAUUGAGUCCUCUGGAUUUCCGUUAGCUCAAAAUUCUGUGCACAUCCAAGCGGUGGCAAACCGCAAGUGGACUGUGCAGAGAUCUGCUGGCAGCGGCUGCCUCUUCAUCGUAAGAAAAUACAUAUGUAGCUUCUCAAAGUACUUAACUCCAAUUAACUGAUUAGCUUGAGCUACAAUCCUAGCACACACAAGGCUGUUUGAAGUUUUGAAGCCAAAGCCUGAGGGGAAAACUAGUCCUCCGUUGCCAGCCGAUGUGUUAGGAGUACAGACUGGCGUGGGUUUUUUGGGGGUGUAUUUCUGGGGAUGCUAAGGAGCUACUGCUACAUUUGCACUGCCUGGUGCUCACCUUGUUCAGGAUCAUCUCUCGGAAAGCUGCUGCACCAAGAGUGACGACGUGUCCGUGGUCGCUGGACUCCCACCUUGCUGAUGACUUGUGUGCCUGGGGCGGGUGUAACUCGGCGUAGCUCAAACGAGUUAUGUGGAAAAAAAAGAUCAUGCUUGCAAAUCAAACACUUGCAAGUUCAAUAUCUGAAUUAAGUUUAUUUCUAAAACCUUAAUUUUGCCUUGAUGUGGACACUAGGUCACAAGAGCACAUACUCUCUGUGAUACAGAAGCUCCCUGUUUUUCAGUACCCUUGGUCCUGCAGUGCUUGCAGGAAGGAAAGAGCCUUCUCUUGUGUUUAAAAGAAAAACAUUGGAAAAAGUUUUAAAAAAAUCUAGUUGGAAGUCAUGUCUGGCUAUGCCACAGACCUCUCAUCUGACUCCAGAUGAGACUAUGUCCUCCCUCCUAGGUGUGCUAUUAGCAAAAACUGUCACUCAUCUUGAUACAGAAUAGGAGGUGGACUGUGCAAUUACUUAUACUAAAGGAUUAAUAUCAUAGGCUAAAUUCUGUCUUUGAAAAUAAGUGUCACAUCUCCUGUUAACUGCAAGGGAGCCCCUGGUUAAGGCCACAGAAUGGAAUUAGUUUAUUCGAAGCAAAGGGACGUUUCUGCAGUGUUGAUUUUAACGAAGCGGAUAACUGAUCCAGGUGUGUCAGUCAGCUUUUUCAGUCGCCUGUUUUGCCUCCCAAUUCUGUUUUCAGUUUUUUUCCUUUUUCCCGACCGAGCUGCACUGCAGUAUUGGUAUGGAGAAAAUCUUCAGUGCUGUCAGUGCCUGGCGUUACUGCUGCGCAUCACGUCCGCAGGACGGGAGCUCCCGCAGCGCGCCGUGAAAAGCUUUGCUGCAGCACUGCUUCCUCAGCCGGCUCCCGGUCGCCUCCAGAGAGAAGCCUCCUCUCCUCUGUCGCAGGACUGCUUGCCAGCACGUGAGCUCUUGAAAAGGCAGCAGCUGAUUUCUGCGGCUGGCGUUUUUCCAGUUAGUCAGCGAGUGUCAGACAGCAGGCUGUGCCACUCGGUCCUGCGGGGCACAAAGGUGAUGAUAAUGGUUUUUUUUCAUGUAGCAGUUUUAUCGUCGGAGGAGAGCGUGGGGACGGGAGGCAGGGCAGGACAGAGGUGCUGCCGCAGGGCUCUCGGUGGGGCAGCUACCGCUGCCUCCCCUCGCUCCGAUACUCACGUACAGACACGCACCCAAGCGAUGCGCUUUUAUCCACGGCCUGAAAUCCUGUGCGUGUCUGCAGCCCUCUCAGAGGCUGCUAGUAUUUUUUUAUGAACGCUGAAUUAAUUCAGAAAUAUAAAAAGAAUGGAAAUAAGUAUAACUAUGUCAAUUCAUGCAUUUACCAUUCUCCACAGCAUCUUUGCUUUUCUUCUUCUCCUCUCCCCCCCUCAAAUAAGUCAUGGUUGUAAUGUUUCAUUAAUAGUUAAAGCGCUUGGUUAAUUCCACUGAUAUAAUGGUCUCACACAUUUUAAUUUGGCCGAGGGGCUCUUCACCGGCACAAUCAAUUGCUUUUUAAACACAAUGUAUGGGUUUAUCCUUGUUUAACCACCUGCCUCACAAUCUUUGAUCUGCGAAGUCGAGAUUUUGCUGCUGGGUAUUAUUAUAAGCCGUUGUUUUUAUGAGGUUUCCAAAGCCCCCCAAAUAUUUGUUGUAUUAAUGCACUAAGAUCUACAACUUUCGAACAACCUGCUACAAAAUGCAUGCUUGUAAAUGGUAAUUAGAUGCACAAUUUCAUUUUAUGAGCUACACGACUUCCAGCGUAGGUGCUUACAGCACCACCUGAGUCACAGAAGAGCUAAGGGACGGUGGCAGCUGGUGAUUAAUCACAGCUGGGCUAAGAGCCAGCGGCAACCUGAGGCUGGCAGUCCCACACGCAAUUUGCAGUCGGCUCGGCUGCACGGUUCCCUGGGGAUUUCGGUUUGGGGGUGGUUAUUCCUAUGCAGACUGCGAGCAGUCUCUUGAUUGCAUGCUGCUCUGGGGCCCUUUACAUUCUUAUGUUCCCAAAUAAAAUCAUAUCCAAGUAAGGAUAUUAUUUAAACAGUUUUUAACUAGAAAAACAGGUCUGUGUUGCACUUGCUGUUAUUUCUUUUUUUCUAGUUUGCCUCACAAAUGAGAAAUUCCUGAGAUCAUGGUCCUUUUUGAAGAUUAGCUCACCUCUGACGUCUAGGAAUGCUGCUUAACUCGUUCUUCCAGAACUGGUUCUUUCAUAAAAGUUUAUUUCUAUAAUAUAUUUUCUCCUUGAAUCCUAGUAGGACCUUGCACACAACAGCAUUUGUAAUCUUUAGCAUUAAUUAAUUUGAUAAAGCAUAAAGCAGCAGAAGUGACAAUAUUAAUGAAAGUAACAAAAAUGGUUUAAUGAUUAAAGGCAAAGAAGCAGAACCCAGCAUCCUUGAAGAUGCAUAUUUUAACGAGAUUUUGUUGUUGUUGUUUCUGUCUGAGCAUGGGUAGUUUCUCUCUGCAAGUAGCUACGAGUUUCCUCUCUUUGCUGAGGAGUUCGGAGUCACCAGUCCUGCUGCCCGACUCGAUGGUUUUCUCUGCCGAUCGCCCAAGAUCCUUUCUGCUUAGGUGACUGGAGAACUGGUAGGAUGAUGAAGCAAGAAAUACUGUGCAACUAACGCUUGAUCCAUGGUGAGAAAGAGAGCUUUUUUUCAAACUAUUUGAAGCUUUCUGUGUGUUGUUAGUGCUGCUUUUACUCAGACUUCUGAGAAACUCUGAGGCGUAGAGAUAUCUUUGUUAAAAUUCAUCACUUUUUUCCCUUUACUUAAAGAAGGAGAAAUAAAAGUCUGUAUCAGAAAGUGCUGAUGAGUUAUAUGGGAAGGUCAGGACUGGUAGGAGUUGUUAAAAAAAUGAAACCCCUUUAAACCUCAUCCCUCUUUUGUGAUAAAAAACAUGCUCUGAAUUAUUUUUCUCUUCUGUGGAGCUGUUUUAAGUGAAGGGUGUUUUAAGUGAAUACGCAGUUUCUGCUUUGAAAAAAAAAUUUCCUGGUAAUACAAAGUUUCUCCUUUGGAUAAGCUUUGAUCCGUGAAUUCUGACAAGGCGGCACGUGAGGCUGCUGCCGCUUCGCUCGGGGGUGGUGAUUUAUCCCGUACAAAGCCGCGUGCGUGUGCGGAGCACAGCAGGAGCAGUGGCCCCCGCCCGGCUGCUACAUAAAAACCGCGUUGUGGUAAGAAGACAGCGGGGUUCCCAAUGAGCAGCUGGAAAGCCAUCAAACCCAAGGCUGAGCCGUCUUCUGCUGGAGCUGGCUGUACAAAGGCUGCUUAAACCGCUUCAGAUGAUUUAUGCUCUUGAAAUUCCCAUCCGUGAGAGCUAGAGCUUUCAGACACUCCACCACCAACACGCAGCCAGUGCGCACUCAGAAUGCGUUCCUCGGCCUUUCUGGCAGCCGGCUGGGUGUACUGAAAGCGAACGGGCCUUGGACGAGGUAGUCGUGGCUGUGCUACGGCGACGCAGCUGCCCUCCAACUCCGCAGCCGCGGGGGCAAGCAAAGAGAAAAGCUGUCCUUCAAAGCAGGAGACGGAGCUGCAAGUAAAAGGAUGUAACGGCCAGGUGGUCCCACGGUGGAACAGCCUGCAGGCCACCCCGUUGUGGGGACAGGCGGUGGCGCAGGGCUAAAUCUCAGAGGGAGAAGGGCCGCGCUGUGGCAGCUGGAGGGACAUGUCACGCUGGGCCGCCUUCUAUCCAGAAAUGGAGACGUAUUUGCGUUUCGGUCUAUUUAUUGCAUUGUAAGAACAAUAUGUCUCAUGCUUUCCGUUCUUCUGUAAUGUUUUGACUUGCGAGAUUGCUUUCAGCCUCUGCACCCUCUCCACGCCUUGGAGCGUUUUUCAUCUCUCUGCUCUGCAGCUGCCCCCAGUCCUUGGUGUCCCGUCCUCCCGGGCAGCUGCGGGGCGCUCCGUGGUCCUCCCUCACCUUCACCUUCCCCUGCGUGGGGUGUCAGCCCGCGGACGGGAAAGCUCUCAGCCUCCUCUGAGACCCCACCACGGUCCGCUGGGGCGAGACAAAGUUGGACGGGAAUUACCCGAGGCUUCCCAAGGUGAGUUUGCAGAUGGCAGGUGAGCAGCAGGGGCGCUUGGGGCUCCCUUAUGCCUGGCGGCUGGUGCCAGCUCGGAGCCAUGCGGGAAUGUCCCAUGGCCACCGGCCGUCUCCCGACGCGUGACCCAGCGCUCGACCGUGGAGCCGGGGCACAGCUGCCCAGGAAGCCAUCUCAGCGACAGCAACUGCAUAGCCAUAGCACCAGGUAUUUACUAAUUUUUAUUAUCCCCAUGGAUUCCCGCAGUGACCAAAAUGCUCCAAAUACCCAAGUGGGUUUUCCACACACUCUCACGUGAGGGAGAAAAAAAAUGCAUCCUUCCGCAUCAAACUGUCCUGUAAAAGCCCGAGCCCAACGCAGCCGUAACGGGCGCACGUAAAUAGUCAGUGCGGUUAUCACUUGGUCGGCUUCUUCUUCCUUGACCCCCGUAUGUGUUGCCUUUGGUGAGGCUGCCAAACUUCCCUGCUAAGCCGAGGGCGCUGACUUUCCCUCUUAAAGUCAAUAGUUGCCGUGCGAUGAUUAACUUACGAAGCCGUUCCCGGAGGUCUGAAAGGAAGAGGCUCCCCUCUUGUGGCUGUCCGGGAAAACGACCAGCGGUCUUCUGCACCAGCGCCUCUCCGGCUGCCGAGGAGCAGAAACACGCCAGAAAACCCCCGACAUCGUCCCCUCGUGCUGCAGCGCACGGCUCCGGCACACGGGCUGGGGUACGGCAGGGCUUCAGCAGUCCCUUCAGCUGCCACCUCUGCCGGGGCAAAGGGGACUAUCUGGGGUGACCUGGUUUCAGUGAAGUUAUUUAAGUUAUUAAAAGAAGUCAUGAUUUAAAUUAAGUCAGAAACAUUAGUUCUAAACAACCGUUUUAAAGCCGUUUUCUGUCUGUACCUUUUAGUUACUUCCUUAAGACGUGUUGAUUUUGUGUUUGAUUUAUUUUUCUUGCUCUUUUUGCUCUCUGACAGAAGAUACGGAUAAACUUCUAUUUAAGUUGUUCUGUAGCUUGGUAGGUAUUUACUCAGAUUAUCAGUUUUUCUUUUUUUUAAUUCUUUCUAAUAAUAAAUUCACGUUUUAGAAAUGCUGAAAGGCCUAUAUCAUUUACCGGAUGGCUAAUUUUGCUUCCAAUUUGUAUCAAACUGCUUUUGUACGAAAACUGAAAUAUAAUUCAAAAAUCAUAAAAGCAGCAGCUUAAAAGUAUGAGUUAAAAGCUGCCUUUAAAUACUUUGGACACAUCAGAAAGAAAAAAAAUAAGUCUACCCAAGUAUGUUUUGCAACUAAAAUGAAUGCAUUUAUUAAAGAAAGGAAGCAUUACUUGUAGUCGGUAAAUUGAACCACUUAUUGCUUGUCAGCGUGGGUGCCAAGGCUUUGGCUCUCGUAGAGCUGAGCCUCUCGCACCUCGUUUUUAUUCGUAAAUUGGAAGAAGAAAACAAACUUUCUUCCUCUUUCGACUCCUGGCUGGCUUCUCCGUGCUGAAUGACCCACUCACUGAACACAAUUACUCAAAUGCAUUAAGAUGAUUUUUUUCCUCUGUAUUCCCACAGAAAAAACCAUUACUAUCCAAAGCAAAGCUCAUUUACUUGCUUAUUCAACAAACUUGGGUUCCUGGUGCUUGGAUAGCAGCUUCGCCCAGGUCACUUGCUUGAUCUUUUCGCGAUUUCAGCAGUGGGCAGAUCUGUAUUUUAUCUAUCACAGCAGCAUUUAAAUUCCAGGAAAUAAAUUGAUCCUGGGAUUUGAACUGGACUCACAACAAACUGUGAAAGGUAUGGAUUCAAGGUUAUGGGCUUGGCCAGCUCUCAAAAGGAAAUGUUGAAAAAAGUUGCUUGGGAAGAAGGCAGCCUGACAUGAGAACUGUUGUUAAUAAAAAUAUAAUAGAACAGAUUUAGUUUUUAGUUUCAACCCUCAUGCUAUUUUUAAACUAUAAGGAAGCUAAAAUGAAAAGUCUUUUGUGUAAUGAAAAUCCAAUCUAAACAAUUCUUUUUUGAUUUCUAAUGUAGAUAUUUCUAUUGAGGAAGACUUACGACUCUCCAAUUUGCAACAUCAUUUGUUAUUUUUAUUCAGUGAAUAAAAAUGAGCAAUCUUUAAAAUAAGAUGUAUUUGGCCCACUAGCUUGGGAUAUUCAAUAGAACCGUUCACUUUUAUUUAUUAAUUGUGGCAUUAAGCCCUGAUAUCUUCCCUAUGUCAAGUAAAUCCAUUCAAAAAGACCUGAAAAUGGGAUGGAAAUGAAAUUCAUCUUUGAGAUAUGGCAAGAAUAGCAAAAGUCACAUUGUGUGACUAUCAGUUCUCGUAUCAGACGAGAAUACGGGUUGCUUUACUGUUGUGCCCUGUCUGGUGCCCUGUUCUGCUUCAGAUGCUACUAAAGAUGACAAAAUAAUGAAAAAUGAAGACAGCUCUGUAGAACAAAUGUUCUGCCCUGGUAUUUGGAGCAGAAGGAAAGCUUUCCUCCUCCUCUCACAUGCGCAUAUCUGCAUCUUGCAGCUGACAGUGCUAUGACAGUUACUGGUAUUAAAUUGCUCCAGCAGCUAUAACCCAGGUACCACCUUGGCUGGUGUCUUCGUGGAGCCGAGGUAGGGCAGCACCGUGAGGGGAAGCGAGCGCUCCUGCCCUUCUGCCCAACAGAACAAACCUGCAGCCUUUGAGCUGGAAAUAUCCCCAAAUUUAUACUGUGUGUGUUUAGUCUGCAUGCAUUAUGCAUGUCCUCAGCUAUGCUGAGGGCUUCUCAGGAGAUGCAGCUAUAACCACAGUGUGGCCAACUGUUUAUUCUUCCCCCGAUAAACAAACAUCCACUGGAGCAGGCAGUUUCAGCGGCUGCCUUUGGACUCUCGAGCCUAUUGAGCAAAGCACCGGCGUGGGCUGAAGGACACUUGAGGGCUCUGUCUGCGCAGUGAGCAGCUCUCACAGAGAGCUGGAAAGUCCUCAUUAACCCUCUGCCAUCCAGAUGUCUUUUUAGCUCCCUUGUGGAUCUAUUUUUUUAAAAGAAGUAAUUUGUAUAGUUCUCUAAUCCCACCUGAAAAUAGAAAACAGUAGGCUUGGGUGUCCGAGGGGCUGCGAUAGGGACAGUGCGCUUUCCCGCGUUUCAUCCAGGUUCUCCAUAGACGUACUACCAAGAGGAGAAACACGAGCUGUAAAACGCAGGCGCAGAUCUCCACUUUGGAAAGCCCACACCGGAGUCUCAGAUGCAGCGUCUCGGAGGAGAGGAGAGCAAGGAUAGCUGCAAAACUCCCACCCGGCCUGAGUGGGAUGUGUUCACCUGCAAAGAGAGGACGAACUCUAAACCCUGCUUCGGUACUUCCACCCUCUGAACAGCACAGAUUUGAUGGCGGCGUGUUGCCUCAGAGGACGAAGGGAGCAGAGUCCCCGUCGCGGCCCUCUCGGGGAGGCCGGGGAGGGACCCGGCACCUUCAAACCGCCGAGGCCUGAUGCUGAGACAGCGCUCGCCUGGUCCGGGUUCCCGCACCCGUUCUCGCACAGCGCAUCUGGGACCGUGAAGCUGCAGGUGUUUCCAGCCGGGUGCACGUUUUGACACGGGGGUUUCAGGGUCAACAGCCAUCAAGCUCGCAAGCGCCAGAUCACCCAGCUCUGGGAAUACGUGUACGCUGUUCACGGACCAUAUGUUCAAGCCUAUUUCCAAGUCCGGACUUGCCCACGAGCCAGGACGCUUUCAGGCAAGCUCUGGCGCAGGCUCAAGUCCGGCUCCAGCUCUGUCUUGAGGGGAGAGUUUGAGCAAAAUGGGUCCCAGAGCCCGGGCUGCUCUCGUCAGCGCAGCCUGAGCCCCUUAGACAAGAGCAGGGCUCUGGAUACAGGAGUUCGGUUUUCCAGCAUGAAUCCCAGGCUUGGACUGAAAACGCUCUGUGCGUAUACCAGGCCCAGAUUACAGGCAGGCCGAUAGCCAGCGAAGCGAACGAGAGCUCCCGCGUGCCUGCGCUCGGCCCCCGGCUGCCGGCAGCCUUGGAGAGCAGCCCUCUGCCGUCGUCUGCCGGGGAAGGGGAUUUUCCUCAUAAUCCAGGGGACUGGAAAUCCAGACUGCCCUUUUUAUGAGGGCUUAAAUUCGCAGGUAUCGGAGGGGCAAGCUGCAAAACGCCGGCGCUGUGACGUUUGCGCCCUGGCUCGCGGGACUGCGGCAGAGAGAGGCGCUCGGCGGGCGCCGCGGGAGGGGAAGGGUGCUGCGGGCUGCAGGCACCCCCCAGCCAACGCUGCAAAUAGCGUGGAAAGAACAGGGUAGGAAACGCAGUUUUCAUGGAGUAAUGGUUACUUACAGGGCUGGAAGGGAUCUCUGACGCUCCCGUGUCAGGGUAAGGGGGAAAAGCCUGACCAGGCAAAGAUCCCGGUUGAGAGAAGAAGGAUCGCGAGCCAGGAUUCCUGGCUUUAAUUAGCUUACGCUAACGAGCUGCAUUAAUGCUUUGCCUUCUGACGCAUCAGUUUUCUCUUUAGAACGGGCAGCACCAUCCCAUCCCAUUGCGAUCGAAUAAUCAAGGUGUGUUAGUGCAGGUGGAAUAGUAUUUACAUUAGACUGCCAGGCCCUCGCAGGAAAGUUGCCAUAGUGCCUCAGUUUUGGGGGCUGAAUGAUGAUAAAUUAGGUCUUAUUUUAACACUGACUAGGCGUAGGUUUGUGAGUGCAGACUGGAGGAGGAGUGCAGCACCAAAGAGUUAAGGGGGGGAAGAACGUCCCAUUCUCCGUGUUUGCGUUCGGGUGCACUUUGCCCUGUGCUUUGAGCCGGAGCCCGAGCGGGCUCCCUCGGCCCCGAGCCCAGCACUGCCUCCUCGCUGUGCUUUCAGGGACAUAGAACCAGGUACUCAUCCACCCCGAAUGGCAAAGGGAAGAUCUUCAAGAGACUGCAGGCUUUUCAAGGUCAGAAGUCGGUUCAGCAGCUGUUCUCCACGGCAAGCUCACGCGUAUCGUGCAACGUUAAAGCAGUCAUUUUUACCAGCAGAGCGAAGCCAGCAGAUUCCCUUGCUGGUGUCCCUACCGUGCUGCCCGGCCGGGCAGCGGCAGCCCCGGGGGGCUCCUGUCUUCUCCCCGUUCCCGGGCUCUGGAAUUGCCCCGCAAGCAGGGCACAAGGAGCAAACGGCUCCUUCGAGGAGAGCUGGGGACGAGCUGGCCCCAGGCGGGGCGGUUUCUGGGGAGGCAGUUCACGACUGCCUGAUGCCUGGUGGCUCCACGUGGAGAAUUAAGAGAACAGCCACUGGGAACAAGUUUUUGGAGUAGCGCCAUGGGUUUGUUAUUGCUGGCACAUCUCGUGGGCUGGGAAGAGGGUCAAAGCUCCAAGGUGGGAUUACAGCACACAGAGGGGUGAGAGCUGCUUCUUGUUCGGUUCCUGGAGGACACAGCCCUGAUACCCACCAGAACCAGCCCUCAGCAGAGUGCACAUCUUGCAGUUAUGUUGUGUGAAGCACAUAUCCUGGGAGAUACCAGAGUUGAAAGCAGAGAAAAAUCUUAAUUUUCAGAGUCACGCUGCAAUUAAAUAGUGCUACUUCUCGUUCUUCUUUUUCUGGGGCUGAUAAUAGUGAUGGCUGAACAACAAGGAGGUAGUCGCUAUGCAUUUCUUUACACUAAGACAUACGCAGCCUCGUAUUGUGUAAAGAAUAUGAAAGAUGUUCCUUUAAAAAUUGGUAGCAUAUUCCACAUUUCUUUCAAGAUGAUUCUGCAAUGUUCUGAUUGUUUCUGGGGGUUCAAUGCCCUCUUGGGAGAAAAAAGAGGUAGGAAUGCAAGAUGAUGAAGAAACAAGACAAAGAACAGGGGGAAGAAAAAGCAGAUGACCAGGUGGAGGGCUUUCUUUAUUAAAGUAUUACACUUCAAGGAUGUGAA